UACAGAGGUCCCAAGCGUUGUUCGGAUUUACUGGGCGUAAAGGGUGCGUAGGUGGCGGGGUAAGUCUGGUGUGAAAGCUCCGAGCUCAACUCGGAAAAGCAUUGGAAACUAUCCCGCUGGAGGGUCGGAGGGAGACUGGAAUUCUCGGUGUAGCAGUGAAAUGCGUAGAUAUCGAGAGGAACACCAGUGGCGAAGGCGAGUCUCUGGACAGUUCCUGACGCUGAGGCACGAAGGCCAGGGGAGCAAACGGG
rnacentral:rRNA from 1 species